GAUGAACGCUAGCGGCAGGCCUAAUACAUGCAAGUCGCACGGUGUCUUCGGACAUAGUGGCGCACGGGUGCGUAACACGUAUGCAACCUACCUUACAUUGGGGGAUAGCCUUUCGAAAGGGAGUUUAAUACCGCAUAAGACAGUAACUAGGCAUCUAGUAGCUGUUAAAGAUUUAUCGAUGUAAGCUGGGCAUGCGUCCAAUUAGCUAGUUGGUGAGGUAACGGCUCACCAAGGCAAUGAUUGGUAGGGGAACUGAGAGGUCAAUCCCCCACACUGGCACUGAGAUACGGGCCAGACUCCUACGGGAGGCAGCAGUAGGGAAUAUUGGGCAAUGGACGCAAGUCUGACCCAGCCAUGCCGCGUGCAGGAUGAAGGCGUUAUGCGUUGUAAACUGCUUUUAUACAGGAAGAAACGACUCUUGCGAGAGGCAUUGACGGUACUGUAUGAAUAAGCACCGGCUAACUCCGUGCCAGCCGCCGCGGUAAGAC
rnacentral:rRNA from 1 species